rnacentral:rRNA from 1 species
UACGUAGGUGGCAAGCGUUGUCCGGAUUUACUGGGCGUAAAGAGCUCGUAGGCGGUUUGUCGCGUCUGCCGUGAAAGUCCGGGGCUCAACUCCGGAUCUGCGGUGGGUACGGGCAGACUAGAGUGAUGUAGGGGAGACUGGAAUUCCUGGUGUAGCGGUGAAAUGCGCAGAUAUCAGGAGGAACACCGAUGGCGAAGGCAGGUCUCUGGGCCAUUACUGACACUGAGAAGCGAAAGCAUGGGGAGCGAACAGG